UUAUCCCACGUUUUGAUGGUUGCCUAAUAGCUCCAGUAACUACCGGUACAUAUUUUGCCUAGUCUUUAUUUCUAAGCUUUUACAUAUUCCUCGGGUGAAAGUGUUGUUGCAAACGUACCCGGUAGCCGCCGAUCACGUAGGCUGGUCAUGAAUUCAGCGGUGUUUGUGUGGGCGGUGCCGUCCUAUGGAAUCUGUGGUGGAGAGCUUGUGCUGUAGGGAAGUGAGUGCGUUUUGGUCGCUGGUCGAGAAGCUCAGCCCAAGACCAGCAGAUGUGACAUGCCUCACUCAGCAUCCAGGAUUUGAUGCAUGCUGCCUGAAUCCGUUUGUGCUUAAGAUAGCGUACACACAUUUCAAGCAGGAUCAUGGUCCCCUUCAAGCCAGCACGCACGAGCAAUACCGGUACACUGCAUACAGGCAGGCUAUACGAUGGGCUUAUGGAGUUCUUGGCCUGCAUAUAAGGAAGCCUCUACCCUCCUGUCUGGUUUCAGCCAUCAGGCAACAAUUUCAGAGUGGUGACCAGACCUAUCAUGGCUUUCAAUGGCCUCGUUUGGAUGAAGAAUAAAAACCAUAUUGGCACGU
rnacentral:lncRNA from 1 species